rnacentral:rRNA from 1 species
UCCUACGGGGGGCAGCAGUGGGGAAUAUUGGGCAAUGGGCGCAAGCCUGACCCAGCAACGCCGCGUGAAGGAAGAAGGCCCUCGGGUUGUAAACUUCUUUUGUCAGGGACGAAGAAAGUGACGGUACCUGACGAAUAAGCCACGGCUAACUACGUGCCAGCAGCCGCGGUAAUACGUAGGUGGCAAGCGUUAUCCGGAUUUACUGGGUGUAAAGGGCGUGUAGGCGGGACUGCAAGUCAGAUGUGAAAUUCCAGGGCUCAACCCUGGAACUGCAUUUGAAACUGUAGUUCUUGAGUGAUGGAGAG